GGGUUUUCCUCCUCUUGAGAUUUUUUCCUUUGCUCCUCAAUCCAAGCUUGUUGUAUUCUCCUAUAUUCUUCAUCACUCAUCGGUGCAGCAUUUCUUCCACAACCGGGAGGAAAAUGUCAUACACCUGACACUUUUGUAAGGGGUUUACUCGCCACUGUUACUUUCUCCUUAUCCUUUUCUGGUUGUCCCCUUACAUUUCUCCCACAGCCUGGUGGAAAGUGUCGGACUACUGUCACGCUCUUCCUAGAACGAAUACCUCCUUCGGCUAUCCUUAAUUUCCCCAUUUCUUUAAUAUGUUCCUUAGAUUCUCUCAAAAGGGAACUUCUCAUGCUAAUAUUAAUAUUAUCACUAUCUGCACUUUUUGGACUACUCGAUUCGGACUGCCAUCAGCUCCUAACAGUAGAAUCUAGCGAUCCCUCGCUAUCACUAUGAGAGGUAUCGAGACUACCACCUCUUCUAGACAUGGUGUGUAUGUCACCAGUGCACCUCAAAACCUAUAUGCAAUCAAAUAGUAAUUGUUUAAUUAUUUAUGCAUCUCAAAAGUAGGUAGAUUUCUAUAUGUAGAUGCAUAUAUUCUAUUCAAUCUAACCUAACUUAAC
rnacentral:lncRNA from 1 species